AAUCGGCUCGUAGCUCUGCUCCUGCUUCGACAGAAUGAUUUGGCCUCGAACACCUUAUGACGGACAACUGAAUUUCAAACAUGUUUGAAUUCUCCCAACCUUACAAUUCCUGAACGGUUCACACAAUAGCUGAUCUCCUCAUCUGCCCUGCUCUCUCCCUGUGACAAAUUAUUCAUUCAAGCAGUCACCGUCUGGGACAGCUUUAAUCAGAAUGGAAGCCAGGAGGCUGGAGGAAACUGAAGAUCUGCAGGGAUCCAUAGCUCAGACAGUGAUUGUGUCAAGGGGCCAAGAGGCUGGGGACCCACAAAAAACAGUUGAUGGGAAACAAGCUGAGUCCGUGUUCUCGAGAGUUCCUGGGGGAGCACGGGACUAAACGAAAGACUUUUGUGCCAAAAUUCCAUGUCCAUUUGGCAUUACCAUGGUGACGACACUAAACAUCAAGCUACGCUUUCGAGAAUUGCUGUUAGAGGGAAAUGAAUGGUUAAGUGUUACAUACUAUGGAACUGUUCACACAAUUAGGCACUUUUGAACUAACAGUUUAAAUAAACAACCUGUUCUUAAUGGAACAUGCACUACACAUCCCCCAAACCAUAUCUUACAUCAUCCAUUAUUUGCACAGUGAAUGUUUUGGUGAAAGGUCUUAAAGCUACAACAGUUUACGUAAUUAAAUGGCUUAUUUACUCUGACAUUUAAAUCUCACCCCAGACAACUCAAGAUUUCUUUCUGCAUGAUGGUAUCAGCUGUAGGUGUUUACAACAUUUCUGUUUGUCUCGGCUGUGGUAACAUUUUGAGCAAGUCUCACACAAUGUAUGCAAAGUAAAACCGUCUGGUUUUCACGGACAAGUUAAGGGAACUUGUAGUUUCUUGUUUAACAUGUUUGCAAUUGAAGGAAAAUGGGAAUUAAAAUGCAUUUCCAGGGAUUGAAAUCAAACUGCAGUCAAGAUGGGAUCAGAAGAGGGAACAUCUUGCACCCAAGGUUUUUCAAAAUAGUACUGACCGUAUUUUCUGCAAUGUAUAAUA